rnacentral:rRNA from 1 species
AGAGCGAACGCUGGCGGCAGGCCUAACACAUGCAAGUCGAGCGCCCGUAGCAAUACGGGAGCGGCAGACGGGAUAGUAACACGUGGGAACGCGCCCUUCGGUUCGGAAUAACUCAGGGAAACUUGAGCUAAUACCGGAUACGCCCUUACGGGGAAAGAUUUAUUGCCGAAGGAACGGCCCGCGUCCGAUUAGCUAGUUGGUGAGGUAAUGGCUCACCAAGGCGACGAUCGGUAGCUGGUCUGAGAGGAUGAUCAGCCACAUUGGGACUGAGACACGGCCCAAACUCCUACGGGAGGCAGCAGUGGGGAAUAUUGGACAAUGGGCGCAAGCCUGAUCCAGCCAUGCCGCGUGAGUGAUGAAGGCCUUAGGGUUGUAAAGCUCUUUCACCCACGACGAUAAUGACGGUAGUGGGAGAAGAAGCCCCGGCUAACUUCGUGCCAGCAGCCGC